UGAAACCCUCUCUCCAAUCCUCUGGCCUGAGUUCUAACAACGGCCGAUGGCUACCGCUCCAUGCACCCACGCGCCGCCGUGCACGGCGGUCGGAAGGCCAAAAAUCCUUCCUCUUGCAGUCGAAACACAGUUAGUAAUUCUCCUCUUUAUUUUAAAAAGUAUUUUUGUAUAUUACAACUUAAAAAAAGUGAACUGUUUUCCCUUUGAUUUUCAAAUCUGAUUUUGGAUCGUCUGUUAUAUUAAAAACACAUGUAUAUAUAAAAAUAAAAUAAAAAAUAAGAGGAAAUAAUAGAGAAUGAAAAAAAAAACCUUUGAAUCUGCUGUGAGUUUUUAUUUCUUCUAUACUGUUUGUACAUGUGUGUUUAAAACAAAAAAAAACUCCCUCCUUUUACAAUAUUUAGAUUCGGGCUUUAUAGCCACUGUUAACUGAUACAAAUUUGGUAUAAAAAUCUUUCCUAUUUCUUGCCGUGUUUUGCUUCUUUCCUUUGUUGUUUUCUCUUCCUUUUUUGCAGGUAAUCACAAGAUCUCUGGCGAAGAUGAGGGGGACGUCCUUCGUUUGGUGCUUGUGGCGCGAGUAGAGGGCUAGGGUUUCUAACCCUAGCCGAAUGCUUCUAAAUUUUGGGCCUCUAAGAGUUUGGGUCAGUAGUGUUUAAAUAUUGGGCUUCGGAUGUGAAUGAGUACACGGGUAGCAACCGGAUUAAAUGUUUGGGCUCUGUUGUAUUUUGGUGCUUUGUAAAUGGACUCUUAAUAAAUUAAUAUUUAUUUGCC
rnacentral:lncRNA from 1 species